rfam:Triticum aestivum genome assembly, contig: Triticum_aestivum_CS42_TGACv1_scaffold_114009_2AS
CUUGUACUCCCUCCGUCCCAAAAUUCUUGCCUUAGAUUUGUCUAGAUACAUAUCUAAUACUAAAACGUGACUUCGUACAUCCGUAUUUAGACAAAUCUAAGACAAGAUUUUUGGGACGGAGGGAGUAUUUA